ensembl:lncRNA OXCT1-AS1 OXCT1 antisense RNA 1
AGACCCUCAGAGUCCCUAUCCAAGGGCGGGUGCCAGGAGGGAAGCCGACGAGCGCCAAAGGGCUCGGGAGCGCUGCCAGGAGUCCUCCCGCCCCUUCUCAGCCUCUCCGCGCGCUUCUUUAUCGCGUCUCGCUCCAUCAGGGAAGCGACUGCAGAACCAAGCAAAGGCGGUCAUCCGAGGGGCCGGCGAGGCCAGGAACGCGUCGCCGCGUGUCCGUGACCAGGGCACCGCGCCACGGAUGCCAGAUCCCAGGCUGGAGAGAGCGGGUUGCCCCAGAUCCGCGGGCAGAGGCGCAGAGCCGAAGCCCGGAGGAGAGGAGUUUGAGAGCCGCCAUCUUCGGGCGGUGAGGCAGGAGGAGGCUGCGGGUUGGAGCGCGCGUUUGAGCGUCGGUGCGCGACUGCGAAGGAAACCCGGGCGGGCUGGAGGCUCGACAGCGCGUCGAUGACGUCCUCCCGGCCUUUCGAGCCGCACGCCACCGGCGCGCUGCUGGCUGCUGCUUUUAAAAGAAGUGAGGCUGGGCGGGGCCCCGGCGGGGAGAAGAGGCUCUGUGCAGCCGGGGCGGAUCGCGGGGAAGUUCCUCUCAGCGCCUCAGGUGUCUGGGCGUGUGCAGCUGUGUUGGCGCACACUUGCCGCUACAGCCCUUCUGUCAGCCCUUUAGCUUCGAUGGGGCGCUGGUGGCCGCCUCCCCCUAGGUUGUGGAUGAGUCUUGGCCUAGGGUUCAGGGCCCUCCGGCCGCGGGAGGAUCUCCCGCCAAGCUUGUUGCUUUUCCAAGUUAGUGCCUGGCGUGUGUGUGGGCUGCAUAGGGGCACCCCUCGAGGCCCCCUUCUCUUCUCCCGCCUGGACUGCGUUCACGUUUCUAACAUUUCUCAGCCCCUUCUCCCCACAUCUGGCCUUGGCUUACAUAGAGUAAGUUUGCUGUGAGCACUUGCCUCGAACUGUCGGUCAAGAGGUGUGAGCAACAAGGCUUGCAGAGGAACAAGAUUAAGACUGGACCUCUGUGACCUGAGUUUAGCACACCUUUUCUUCCCCAUCAUCCAAGUUUGCGAAUUUCGGGCUCUUUCUCGCACUGGAGUCCCAGCAACCCCAGAGAUUACUAAAGAUGCAACCAUAAAAGCAGUAUAUUGCUUUAACCUUAGGCAAGUUAGAUAACUUCCCUAAGCCUCAGUGUCCUCAUCUGCAAAUUAGGAUUGCUUGUGAUACAACGUCAUAACGUUUCUAUGAGUUAAUUCAUGCAAAGUUUAUGGCCUUAUUAUGAGGAGUCAAUAAAUGUUAGGCAUUAUUAUAAGUUUAUUCCAUUGUAGCAGUUCAUUGACAUGGCACGUACAUAUUCGCCAAGCCUUGUCUUUUGACCAACUCCUUGAGGACAUGAGCCACGACUGAUUUCUCCAGAACUGUCUUUGCACUUAGCAGAGUGGAAAGACCAAGUGGAAGCUCAAUAGCAUUUUAUUUGAUUAAGGCCUGACCAAGUUCUGAGAAUGUGAUGUUAGUUUUGAACCAAAGCAAAGCACACAAAAAUUAAAUGAGAUCUUAGCUUCCUUAGCAAAUACAGUAAGGUAAUGAACAGUGAAGAUGCAGUUCAAAGUUUGUCCAUAAAAUCAUUUGCCCUUUCAUGGUAUUCUUUUAACUCUGAACUUUUUUUUUUCCUGUAAAUAUUAUAAUUUUAGUCAAAAUCAGUUAAGGAGUAAGAUACCAAGUUAGACUAUUCAAUUACACUGGAGAAAUUAACUUAUUGCUAGUUGGUAUUUCAACACAUUUUAAGAAGUUGGAUUGGGGGGAAAUUCAAGUACUGUAACUAAAGUCCCAUAACUAGUGAUAAUUUAGCAUAUAGCAGCUGUUGUACCUUUAACUUACACAAUGUGAAAAAAACUAGCAUUCCAAUUGAGUCUGCUUUUCCACUUUUGCCCAUUGCGAUUGGGUCUGCUUUUCCACUUUUGCCCUUCCACAGGGCACAUGAAAUGGAAAAACUGCAUUGGCAACUUUGCCGGUGGUCAUAUGACUGACUCUUGGCUGGUCUCACUUUGUUGCUCUUGGCUGAGGAAGACACAUUUUAAAUGUUGCAUGCUAUGUGACUAAGUCUCCUGAGAAAAUCACCCUAAUUACUGUAUGGUCAAAACACACUGUACUGUAUUUUUGAUGACUGUGACUUCAUUUUAUACUUUUUAAAUAAUGUGCAAGUCUCUUCAACUUGAAUAAAU